rnacentral:rRNA from 1 species
GGUUUAAAGGGUGCGCAGGCGGAAUGAUUAGUCAGUGGUGAAAUCUACGGCUCAACUGUAGAACUGCCAUUGAUACUGUCAUUCUUGAGUAUAAUUGAUGUGGGCGGAAUGUGUCAUGUAGCGGUGAAAUGCUUAGAUAUGACACAGAACACCGAUCGCGAAGGCAGCUCACAAAGCUAUAACUGACGCUCAGGCACGAAAGCGUGGGGAUCAAACAGGAUUAGAUACCCUGGUAGUCCACGCCGUAAACGAUGAUUACUCGAUGUUGGCGAUACACUGUCAGCGUCUGAACGAAAGUAUUAAGUAAUCCACCUGGGGAGUACGGUCGCAAGACUGAAACUCAAAGGAAUUGACGGGGGCCCGCACAAGCGGAGGAGCAUGUGGUUUAAUUCGAUGAUACGCGAGGAACCUUACCUGGGCUAGAACGCCGGAUGACCGACUGUGAAAGCAGUCUUCCCCUCGGGGCAGCCGGCGAGGUGCUGCAUGGUUGUCGUCAGCUCGUGCCGUGAGGUGUCGGGUUAAGUCCCAUAACGAGCGCAACCCCUAUCUUUAGUUGCCAUCAGGUAAUGCUGGGGACUCUAAAGAAACUGCCUACGCAAGUAGUGAGGAAGGCGGGGAUGACGUCAAAUCAGCACGGCCCUUACGUCCAGGGCUACACACGUGCUACAAUGGCCGGUACAGAGGGAUGCUACCUGGUGACAGGAUGCUAAUCUCCAAAGCCGGUCUCAGUUCGGAUCGAAGUCUGCAACCCGACUUCGUGAAGUUGGAUUCGCUAGUAAUCGCGCAUCAGCCAUGGCGCGGUGAAUACGUUCCCGGGCCUUGUACACACCGCCCGUCAAGCCAUGGAAGCUUGGGGUACCUGAAGUCGAUAACCGAAAGGAGUCGCCUAGGGUAAAACAGGUAACUGGGGCUAAGUCGUAACAAGGUAGC